CGCAAUGGGCGAAAGCCUGACGGAGCGACGCCGCGUGAUGGAUGAAGACCCUCUGGGACGUAAACAUCUUUUAUGAGGGAGAAAGUUUAUUGAUAGUACCUCAAGAAUAAGGGGUUGCUAAACUCGUGCCAGCAGCAGCGGUAAUACGAGUGCCCCGAGCGUUAUCCGGAAUUAUUGGGCGUAAAGGGUGUGUAGGUGGUUGUGUUAGUCAAUCGUUAAAGCCCGGGGCUUAACUCGGGAUCUGCGAUUGAAACGGUACAACUAGAGGAUGCGAGGGGUGCAUGGAACUCAUGGAGUAGGGGUGAAAUCCGUUGAUAUCAUGGGGAACACCAAAAGCGAAGGCAGUGCACUGGCGCAUUCCUGACACUGAAACACGAAAGCGUAGGUAG
rnacentral:rRNA from 1 species